rnacentral:tRNA from 1 species
GCCGGGGUAUCCUAGCCUGGUAUGGAGCAGGCCUGCUAAGUCUGUGACCCUUCGGGUCUCACGGGUUCAAAGUUCUAAGAGGAACCUCUUGGGAUGAAAAUCCCGUCCCCGGCGCCA